rnacentral:tRNA from 1 species
CCUGGUGGUUUAGAUGGUAAACCGUCUGGCUGCAAUGCAGGAGGCCCAGGUUCGAUCCCUGGGUCAGGA